GACGAACGCUGGCGGCGUGCUUAACACAUGCAAGUCGAACGGAAAGGCCCUGCUUUUGUGGGGUGCUCGAGUGGCGAACGGGUGAGUAACACGUGAGUAACCUGCCCUUGACUUUGGGAUAACUUCAGGAAACUGGGGCUAAUACCGGAUAGGAGCUCCUGCUGCAUGGUGGGGGUUGGAAAGUUUCGGCGGUUGGGGAUGGACUCGCGGCUUAUCAGCUUGUUGGUGGGGUAGUGGCUUACCAAGGCUUUGACGGGUAGCCGGCCUGAGAGGGUGACCGGCCACAUUGGGAAUGAGAUACGGCCGAGACUCCUACGGGAGACAGAAGUGGGGAAUAUUGCACAAUGGGCGGAAGCCUGAUGCAGCAACGCCGCGUGCGGGAUGACGGCCUUCGGGUUGUAAACCGCUUUCGCCUGUGACGAAGCGGGAGUGACGGUAAUGGGUAAAGAAGCACCGGCUAACUACGUG
rnacentral:rRNA from 1 species